rnacentral:rRNA from 1 species
UCACUUUCAACAACGGAUCUCUUGGCUCUCGCAUCGAUGAAGAACGUAGCGAAGUGCGAUAAGUAAUGUGAAUUGCAGAAUUCCGUGAAUCAUC